UUACGAGGCCGCAGCCCCUCGGGGCCCCGCGGCACCGCGAGGCACGGCUCGGCCCCGCGGGGCGUCGCCCCUCGGGUCUGCUGCUGGCCGGUGGUGUUUCCUGCUGAGGAGACGUUGUACUAGCACCUUAAUCCUGUGCCGAGCUGGAACUCGGCUGUUCACCUUUAUGUACACACACACACACACAUAUAUAUAAUAUAUACACUUGCUCAUUUUUCCCCUCAGUUCACGCUCAGCCCCCAGGGAGUGUGUGAUGCCGGGCUGCUGAACAGCUUUUAACUCCCAUCUGAACUCUUGAGAUCUCUCCGGCAAAGCAUUGCUCAUCGAAGGUCUCUCAGUUAUGAAAAGAGAGUUGAGUUUGAGUCCAGCUGUGGCAGGAACAGCACAAGUCACCGUGUCAUGUGCAUCAGGAGAAAGCACGUUCCACACAAAGAAAUACUCAACAGGUUGUGCUUGGUGCAGACUGCUUUGAAAGGGUGUGUGCGCUCCUGGUGGGAUUCAUCUUGCAGUCUUGGAACCCUUAAUCCAGGUGAAAGCCAGCCCAAUUGCUGUACUUUCAAAAUGCUGAUGAACUUCCUUGAGGCAGGUCAAGUGAUUUAUAGCACCUUUCAGCCACUUUUGAACUGAAUCUACGCACCCAUUUCAACAUUUCUACAGAUAAGGGAGCAUAUUAAGUGUAUUGCUGUAUGAUAAAUGUUUUCAAGAUUAGAGCCUGGUCUGUUUCUGUCAUCCAGCCACGAAGAAGAUGAGAUGAUAGAAAAUGAUCAGCAUCACUCCUCUAAGAGCACUGCAGAAAGAUAAGUGCCUCCUAUAUUUUCUAGGUGUUUGUCAGUUCCUCAUACAAAGAAAUUUGUUCCAUCUCCCAGGAGAGUCACAGCUAAUCUAGGAUCUGCUAAUUCAUGUGUUUAUUCAUAAGGGGCCCAUAUCACGUACAUCCCCCAACGAAGCUGCUACUUGGCAAGGCAAUUAAUUGAAUACCUGACUUGGAGCAGUGAAUAACAGAUUAGCUGACGAGGGUUUGAAUGCAUGUGUUUCAGCAUCUCCCUGAGUUAAAGCCUGAACAUGGAGUCCUGGGCUGGAGUUCAUUUUGUCCAAAAGCUGUAUGCUGAUCCUGCUGUGAUGAUGCUCUCAUCAACAGCUCUUCCCCACUGGAAAAAUCAGGCUGUUGAUGAAAAAAUCGAGGACUCACAUCUAUGGUAGAUGGGUCUUUCCAUGAAGCUGAAUUAAGAUUAUGAAAGCCUCUGACAAAUGACAAAAGAAUAACUACUAACCGCAAUCAGAACUAACUAGAAAUUGCACCUCUUUGACUUAGCUUUUCUACAACUAUCCUUCCAUGUAGAUUUGGUCUUUGUGUUAUUGUGUGUUUAUUUAAUAGAAAACAAUUUGCAAAUGAUUAAUUUUUUUUUUUUUUGCCAGAACUGUAUCUAUCUGAAAAGAAGGUUUACUCCAAAUCAAAACAUUUUGACAAAGAUUUCUUAACGUGCAAUUUCAGCAAGUUAGUCACUGAGGCUGCCUCUGCCAACUCCCGUGAGCUGACACUUACGUGGCGGUGUUCCCUUUGAGGAUGCACUGUGAAAAGCUGGCUGCAAAGUCAUUAAUGCUUCUAACUGCUGCUCCAGAUUUCUCAUGUCUCUGUAGGUCUGGUGUGACAGCUAUACUGCUGGGGUGUCCACAUUAAAUACUCAGCUACUGCAGCAUUGUUGUCUUCUAUUGUGAAAGAACAUUUACCAAGGGAGUUUCAAAAUCUAUACACUGUCUUGAUCAGGAGCAGUGUCUUCACACUGGUGCUUGCGUAUGCCUAUCACAAUUUUUGUAGUGGAAUAACUCACAAAGCAAGACUUGACUAGAGCUAAACCACAAUGGGUGCAGCAGGUAUUAUUUAACAGUAAAGAGACUUCUGUUGCUGUAUCAGUGCAUGACGCAUGACACAGGGGUGCAUAGAAGAUCAUGUCUUUUUCAAGAUACUGAGGAACCAAGGGCAACAGUCUGAAACUCAUGGGUUGAGAUGAACUUACCAGCUGCCUGGCACCCUGACUGGUGAUGGGGGGUGUUAAGAGAGGAGCACUCCCCAGCUGUUGGUGAAAUGCUUAUGUGUGAAAUCAUUAGCAUAUAAAUAAACGCUUGCUUGGCUGUUUUGUAGCAUUUGCUCAGUGUAUUUAGGGAUUUCCUAAAGCAAAACAUCCCUAAACAUGAAUCUGAAACAAAUAUGUCUGCAUGGAGUUGUCAUCUAGAUGUUUGGGAGGUAAAGUAAUCGUGUUUGGCAUGUUUCAUGCCCAUGCAUUCCAUCUGCCUAUCUUGCCUACAUGUACAGCAGGGAAUGAAACAUUUGUGCUUCAAUUUCUGCAGAGGGAAGCUUGAAGUUUGUGCUCUGUUUUCUUUGUGUGUAAUUCCUUCUCUCAAAACCUGCCCAUGACGCGCUUGGAUCCUGCAGCAUGUUUUGUGUGCAUGCCGUGAGGAUAGCUAGGUCGGAGCAUAACUAAGCAUUUGUGAACUGCUGGAUUCACCAAACAAAGGGGACUGGAAAAAAAGCACAAGAGGCUUCUGUUGUGUAAGUGACACUUAAUCUUG